rnacentral:rRNA from 1 species
AUUGAACGCUGGCGGCAUGCCUUACACAUGCAAGUCGAACGGUAACAGGUUAAGCUGACGAGUGGCGAACGGGUGAGUAAUACAUCGGAACGUGCCCAGACGUGGGGGAUAACGUAGCGAAAGCUACGCUAAUACCGCAUACGAACUGAGGUUGAAAGCGGGGGACCGUAAGGCCUCGCGCGUUUGGAGCGGCCGAUGGCAGAUUAGGUAGUUGGUGGGGUAAAGGCUUACCAAGCCUGCGAUCUGUAGCUGGUCUGAGAGGACGACCAGCCACACUGGGACUGAGACACGGCCCAGACUCCUACGGGAGUCAGCAGUGGGGAAUUUUGGACAAUGGGCGCAAGCCUGAUCCAGCAAUGCCGCGUGCAGGAUGAAGGCCUUCGGGUUGUAAACUGCUUUUGUACGGAGCGAAACGGCUCUCUCUAAUACAGGGGGCUAAUGACGGUACCGUAAGAAUAAGCACCGGCUAACUACGUGCCAGCAGCCGCCGUAA